UUUUUUACUGCCAUUAAAAUAAUUUAAAAAAAAUUUGUAUUCUGAAAUGUAACAAGGUAUUUGCUGAAGUUUCCUAAUCCUAUACAAUAAGGUUGAAGAAUGUUUUUAUCUUGGGAGGAGCUUAUCAAAUCAAAUGAUUUUACACGACCCCUAAAUAAAUUAUGGAAUUUGUGACAACAGAAAUUGUGAAUUGAAAAUUAUCCUAUACAAUUCAAAUAAAAUUAUAUUGCAUUAAAAAAUUAAAUAUUUAUAAUUAUGCCAUAAAGGUGUUUUAAACUAUAUUCCUAUUAUAUUCGUAUUUGUUAUAUAGAAUGUUUUAUUGAUUAUAUGCUUAUUCGUUGAAAAUUAUAACAUACAUUUUUUAUAAUUUUUUCCUUCUUUA